GACGAACGCUGGCGGCGUGCCUAAUACAUGCAAGUCGAACGCAGUGGGGACGGGUGAGUAACACGUGGGUAACCUCCCAUCAGAGGGGAUAACACUUGGAAACAGGUGCUAAACCGAUACUGAUGGAUGGACCCGCGGUGCAUUAGCUAGUUGGUGAGGUAACGGCUCACCAAGGCCACGAUGCAUAGCCGACCUGAGAGGGUGAACGGCCCCCAGGUGACUGAUACACGGCCCAGAAUCCUACGGGAGGCAGGAGGAGGGAAUCUUCGGCAAUGGACGAAAUGUUGGCCGAGCAACGCCGCGUGAGUGAAGAAGGUUUUCGGAUCGUAAAACUCUUGUGUUAGGGAAGCGGUAUCUAACCAGAAAGCCACGGCUAACUACGUGCCAGCAGCCGCGGUAAUAC
rnacentral:rRNA from 1 species